GCGGACGAAGUUGGCCAGCCCCACCCCCCAAGGCUAUAGCCCACCCGUUUUUAUGGGCUUUUUCCGCUAGACGAACUUGGCGCCCUGGCCUUCGGGCGGCUAUUUUUGGGUGCGGCUGUGCCCGCGGCCUAUUUUUGGCACACGGAGGUGCCUCGCAAAGUCUCCCGGCAAUCCGAGUCUGGAGGACGAAGUUGGCCAGCCCCACCCCCCAAGGCUAUAGCCCACCCGUUUUUGUGGCCUUUUUCCGCUGGACGAACUUGGCGCCCCGGCCUUCGGGUGGUUAUUUUUGGGUGCGGCUGUGCCUGUGGCCUAUUUUUGGCACACAGAGGCGCCUCGCAAAGUCUGGCGCCAUUCCGAGUCCGGCGGACGAAGUUGGCCAGCCCCACCCCCCAAGGCUAUAACCCACCCGUUUUUGUGGGCUUUUUCCGCUCGACGAACUUCGCGCCCCGGCCUUCGGGCCGUUAUUUUUGGGCGCGGCUGUGCCAACGGCCUAUUUUUUGCACACUGAGGUGCCUCGCAAAGUCUCCCGCCAUUCCGAGUCCGGCGGACGAGUUUGGCCAGCCCCACCCCCCAAGGCUAUAGCCCACCCGUUUUUGUGGGCUUUUUCCGCUGGACGAACUUGGCGCCGCGGCCUUCGGCCGCUUAUUUUUGGAUGUGGCUGUGCCCGCGGCCUAUUUUUGGCACACGGAGGCACCUCGCAAAGUCUCACGCCAUUCCGAGUCCGGCAGACGAAGUUGGCCAGCCCCACCCCCCAAGGCUAUAACCCACCCGUUUUUGUGGGCUUUUUCCGCUCGACGAACUUCGCGCCCCGGCCUUCGGGCCGUUAUUUUUGGGCGCGGCUGUGCCAGCGGCCUAUUUUUUGCACACUGAGGUGCCUCGCAAAGUCUCGCGCCAUUCCGAGUCCGGCGGACGAGUUUGGCCAGCCCCACCCCCCAAGGCUAUAGCCCACCCGUUUUUGUGGGCUUUUUCCGCUGGACGAACUUGGCGCCCCGGCCUUCGGCCGCUUAUUUUUGGAUGUGGCUGUGCCCGCGGCCUAUUUUUGGCACACGGAGGCACCUCGCAAAGUCUCGCGCCAUUCCGAGUCCGGCAGACGAAGUUGGCCAGCCCCACCCCCCAAGGCUAUAGCCCACCCGUUUUUGUGGGCUUUUUCCGCUGGACGAACUUGGCGCCCCGGCCUUCGGGCUGUUAUUUUUGGGCACGGCUGUGCCCGCGGCCUAUCUUUGGCAGACGGAGGUGCCUCGCAAAGUCUCGCGCCAUUCCGAGUCCGGCGGACAAAGUUGGCCAGCCCCACCCACCAAGGCUAUAGCCCACCCGUUUUUGUGGGCUUUUUCCGCUGGGCGAGCUUGGCGCCCCGGCCUUCGGGCAGUUAUUUUUUGGCGCGGCUGUGCCCGCGGCCUAUUUUUGGCACACGGAGGUGCCUCACAAAGUCUCGUGCCAUUCCGAGUCCGGCGGACGAAGGUGGCCAGCCCCACCCCCCAAGGCUAUCGCACACCCGUUUUUGUGGGCUUUUUCCGCUGGAUGAACUUGGCGCCCCGGCCUUCGGGCGGUUAUGUUUGGGCGCGGCUGUGCCCGCGGCCUAUUUUUGGCACACGGAGGAACCUCGCAAAGUCUCACACCAUUCCGAGUCCGGCGGACGAAGUUGGCCAGCCCCACACCCCAAGGCUAUAGCCCACCCGUUUUUGUGGGCUUUUUCCGCUGGACGAACUGCCGCCCCGGCCAUCGGGCAGUUAUUUUUGGGCGCGGCUUUGCCCGCGGCCUAUUUUUGGCACACACAGGCCCCUGGCAAAGUCUCGCGGCAUUCCGAGC
rnacentral:lncRNA from 1 species